GACGUAGGGUGCGAGCGUUGCCCGGAAUUAUUGGGCGUAAAGGGCUCGUAGGCGGUCUGUCGCGUCGAAAGUGAAAACCCAGGGCUUAACCCUGGGCCUGCUUCCGAUACGGGCAGACUAGAGGUAUGCAGGGGAGAACGGAAUUCCUGGUGUAGCGGUGAAAUGCGCAGAUAUCAGGAGGAACACCGGUGGCGAAGGCGGGUCUCUGGGCCGAUACUGACGCUGAGGAGCGAAAGCGUGGGGAGCAAACAGG
rnacentral:rRNA from 1 species